rnacentral:rRNA from 1 species
GACGAACGCUGGCGGCGUGCUUAACACAUGCCAGUCGAACGGAAAGGCCCUGCGUUUGUGGGGUGCUCGAGUGGCGAACGGGUGAGUAACACGUGAGUAACCUGCCCUUGACUUUGGGAUAACUUCAGGAAACUGGGGCUAAUACCGGAUAGGAGCUCCUGCUGCAUGGUGGGGGUUGGAAAGUUUCGGCGGUUGGGGAUGGACUCGCGGCUUAUCAGCUUGUUGGGUGGGUAGUGGCUUACCAAGGCUUUGACGGGUAGCCGGCAUGAGAGGGUGACCGGCCACAUUGGGACUGAGAUACGGACCAGACUCCUACGGGCGGCAGCAGUGGGGAAUAUUGCACAGUGGGCGGAAGCCUGAUGAAGCAACCCCGCGUGCGGGAUGACGGCCUUCGGGUUGUAAACCGCUUUCGCAUGUGACGAAGCGUGAGUGACGGUAAUGAGUAAAGAAGCACCGGCUAACUACGUG